rnacentral:rRNA from 1 species
CGGCGGACGGGUGAGUAACGCGUGGGCAACCUGCCUCACACAGGGGGAUAACAGUUAGAAAUGACUGCUAAUACCGCAUAAGACCACGAAACCGCAUGGUUUUGAGGUAAAAACUCCGGUGGUGUGAGAUGGGCCCGCGUCUGAUUAGGUAGUUGGUGCGGUAACGGCGCACCAAGCCGACGAUCAGUAGCCGACCUGAGAGGGUGACCGGCCACAUUGGGACUGAGACACGGUCCAGACUCCUACGGGAGGCAGCAUG